GUCAAUUCUGCCCAAUGGGAGCGUAGCCUGAUUGUCUAGUUAGGUUGAUUCUUUGAGAGACAGCUGUUGAGAGAAACGUUUAACGUAUAGCUAACCUUUAGUCAGUGUUUUUACCUGUUCGGAGGCAUCUUUUUUAUUUGUAAAUCGGUCUAUGGCUCAACACAAACUUUGUCAUUAGGUUGUCAGCUUUUAAAGGCAUGAACAGGCUCAAAAAGAAGAAACAAAACGCAGGAGUUGAGGUGAAUGGGAAUGGAUCUGUCACAAGAGAGACAGAUUGUGGGAGGAAACAGAAGUUAGCUGAGAUCCAUCAGGCUUUGAUCAGUGAUCCAGUGGACAUUGAGACCCUGAGGAGGGCAGCAGGCAGUAAGGGAGGGCUGCUCACCGAUGAACUGAGGAGGAAGGUCUGGCCCAAACUACUGAACAUCAAUGUGUACGAUCUGCCUCAUAAACCUGGUCGAGAUGUGAGGGAAAACCACAAGGACUUUAACCAAGUAGUCCUUGAUGUCAGGAGGUCUAUGAAGCGGUUCCCUAAAGGCAUGCGAGCCUCAGAGAGAGCUGUGCUUCAGGAGCAGAUGAUUGACAUCAUACUGGAGGUUUUGAAACGCACCCCCCAGCUCCAUUACUACCAAGGCUACCAUGAUGUGGCGGUCACUCUGCUGCUGGUGGCUGGGGAGCGGAUGACCAUCGCCAUGCUGGACACUCUGUCCAAUCACCAUCUCAGGGAUUUCAUGGAUCCUACCAUGGACCGCACUAAACACAUUUUAAACUACCUGAUGCCUAUAUUGGAACAAGUUGAUACAGAACUACAUGACUUCAUGAUCAGAGCGGAGGUGGGAACCAUCUUCGCCCUGUCCUGGCUCAUCACAUGGUACGGCCACGUGCUGUCAGACUUCAAACACACCAUGAGACUCUACGACUUCUUCCUGGCCUCACACCCUCUGAUGCCCAUCUACCUCGCUGCUACGAUUGUGUUACACAGAGAGAAGGAGGUGAAGAAGACUGAGUGUGACAUGGCCAUGGUCCACCACCUCCUCUCCCGCAUCCCCCAGGACCUCCCAUACGAACUUCUGAUUGGCCAGGCCCAGGACCUGUUCGACCAGUACCCUCCAUCCCUACUGGCCAAGCGGGCAGCACUGCAGCCCCGCAAGAGUCUGUCCAUCAGCACCUUCCAGGCGUUUCAGCUUGCCACCCUCCAUCAGAGGCCCGACUCCGUUCUCAAACGCCUCACCAAGACCCAGGGCUCCAGCACCUCCAGACAAGCCUCUCGAUACUCAGGUGUGGAAGCAGCUUUGCCCCAAGAGCGAGGCCAGCUGUGGGGGAAGGGGAACCGGAUGGUGAAGAUGGCAGUGUGGGGGCUGUCCGCCACGCUCGGGGCCGCCGUGUUCGCUGUGGCUCAGACGGCUAUGGACUGGGGACCCGAGGCGUUGCUACAACUGUUCUGAGGUGGCGCUGGGGAUUUAGACCAUUAGACACACAGUGACACAUGUUGACAGCAGACACACAUCUGCUCUUCAGACGGAUUAACAAUGAACAAACAAACGUACACAUGCAAAGACAUUUAAGCUCUUUUCUCCUGCUGAGAGGUAAGUUAUCCUGGUGCCAAACAGGUUGUUGCUACUCAACCACAAUGAACAUAUGUUAGCCACUAGCAAGCCUUGGGAUGUGUGUGCAUGUGUGUGAGCAGGUGGUUGUGUGAUAUAUGUUUGAGUAUCUCGUACCUCAUGCUGCAUGUGAGCAUGAAUGGAUGACUGAGUUCGCCUACUGCGCACCUUGACCUCUUGGGCCCCUGGGCCAGAGACUUUUUUUUUUUUUUCAAUCAAUCAAAAGACCAAAAAGAGACAGAAAGCAAUCACCAACAACCAAAAAUACAAUGCAUCACACCUUAAGAGACCCAAAAAAAACAACGUUAAUUGACCACAUAAAGACGCGAAACAACCUCAAGAACAAGCAACACAACCACAUAGACAUAAAACGCUGACACAAAUACACAACACCACUGCUCAUGGUCCUUUCAUGCAUGUGAGACACUAACACUGAAUUGUUGGUGUAACAUGUCUGUGCAUUUGCUGCUUAUUUUGCAGACUAAUUUUUUGAAUUUCAUGCCUGUUUCCUUGCACUUCUGUUGUUGGUGUUUAAGUGCGCUUGUUGGAUCUGCAGCCAUAUCUGAAAAGUGCACAUAGCCAGCACGAUGACACAUGAAUACAAAUUAUUAAAGAGUGGUGUUUUCAGCUGAAAGCUUCCAGUUAUGAGCAAAAAAGGAGAGAGGGAGAGAAAAGGCAAAGAUGGAGGGAGAGAUUUUUCCUGUGAGCCACUGGUAUUAAUUGCUUUACUGCGGGUGUCAGCAUAUUACAUUUAGAGUAGAGUUUGACACACAAAACGAGUUGUUGCUGCCUUAAAAUGUGAACAUUACACAAGGUUAGCACGCUGCACUCGAUGCAAGCAGUUGGCCUUUGGUUGUGUUGUUAAGGGGAAGACACAAGUACUUUUACAUUCUUGAAAUAUUUAUCAGGUUUGCAGCAACAUCCACCCUGAGCAGCCUUCAAGAGAACAUCAUAUUUCUCGUACGCAUUUUACAGCUACUGUACUGUGAUUAUUUUAUGUAGGAAGAAAUUGUGUUUUUUAUUUCAUUAAGUAAAUAAGUUAACAACCUGUAUAGCACACCCUGUAGAUAUUGUUGGAUUAAACAUAAUCAAUGAGUUUCAGCGCCCGAAAAGUAAACAUGAAUUAAUAAUACAGACGUUCCAACUGAGGUGCAUACAUAUGUACAGGGCACGGGGGGUCUCCAAACAGCAAUGCAUGCUCUGUGUCGACUUAUGUUCUGAAAUAUUUAUCGGCUUUUACUAGCAUGUUGCCUGGUUGCGUCUGUUAACACAACUUCACCGGGAUCCCAACACUCCUCCUCUUUUUCCGACAUCAGAUAUACGUGUGUGCUAUCUUUGCACAGUCGGAUUUCAUGUGAAGUUUACCCUGUUGAUGUAUGUUGCUCUGAAGCACGUUAAUUCAACUGGUGUGUGCUUUGUUGUGUAUGAAAUUACAGAAGAAAGAGAGAAAAUCAAAUGUUUAGCCUCAGGGCAAUUUGACAAGGAUGACAGAGCUCAGUAGUUCACAAACCAAUCAAUCUAUCACUCCAUUAAGUAGUAAUUAUAUUAAAAAGUCAAUACAUAAAUCAAUAAACUCAGGUAGUCUGCUGGUCUUUAAGCCAGUUAGGAUUCAGACACCGAGUCAGUCGGCGUGCUGCGUUGCUUGUUGGAAAAGCCUCUGCAUGUUCCCCUCAUCAGUCGGACAAGCUAUGUGAUGUAAAACAUCAUGUGUGCGUGGUCGGAUGAUUAAAUGCAAUAAGUGUGUGCUUGUAGUUUGUGUGUGUGUGUGUGUGUGUGUGUGUGUGUGUGUGUGUGUGUGUGUG